AACGAACGCUGGCGGCAUGCCUAACACAUGCAAGUCGAACGAGAUCUUCGGGUCUAGUGGCGCACGGGUGCGUAACGCGUGGGAAUCUGCCCUUUGGUUCGGAAUAACAGUUGGAAACGACUGCUAAUACCGGAUGGUGACGAAAGUCCAAAGAUUUAUCGCCAGAGGAUGAGCCCGCGUAGGAUUAGCUAGUUGGUGUGGUAAAGGCGCACCAAGGCGACGAUCCUUAGCUGGUCUGAGAGGAUGAUCAGCCACACUGGGACUGAGCCACGGCCCAGACUCCUACGGGAGGCAGCAGUGGGGAAUAUUGGACAAUGGGCGAAAGCCUGAUCCAGCAAUGCCGCGUGAGUGAUGAAGGCCUUAGGGUUGUAAAGCUCUUUUACCCGGGAUGGUAAUGACAGUACCGGGAGAGUAAGCUCCGGCUAACUCCGUGCCAGCCGCCGCAGUAA
rnacentral:rRNA from 1 species